AUCGCUUCUCGGCCUUUUGGCUAAGAUCAAGUGUAGUAUCUGUUCUCAUCAGUUUUAAUAUCUGAUACGCCUCCUAUCUGGGGGCCAUAUAUUAAAUGGAUUUUUAGAACAGGGAGAUGGAAGAAGAGCUUGCUCUGUCCACUCCACGCAUUGACCUGGUAUUGCAGUACCUCCAGGACCGGUGCACAAAAA
rnacentral:snRNA from 1 species